GCGGGUGUGGUGGAAUUGGUAGACACAACAGACUUAAAAUCUGUCGACUUCACGGUCGUGCCGGUUCAAGUCCGGCCUCCCGCACCA
rnacentral:tRNA from 1 species